UACGUAGGGUGCAAGCGUUAAUCGGAAUUACUGGGCGUAAAGGGCGCGUAGGCGGCCCGCUAAGUCGAACGUGAAAUCCCCAGGCUCAACCUGGGAACUGUGUCUGAUACUGGAUGGCUUGAAUCCGGGAGAGGGAUGCAGAAUUCCAGGUGUAGCGGUGAAAUGCGUAGAUAUCUGGAGGAAUACCGGUGGCGAAGGCGGCAUCCUGGACCGGCAUUGACGCUGAGGAGCGAAAGCCAGGGGAGCAAACGGG
rnacentral:rRNA from 1 species